rnacentral:lncRNA from 1 species
GUUGCAGUUAUUUUUUUAAAAUCGAGUCCAGAGAGUGAAAAUGUUAACCCAAUACUUGACUAAUCAAAUAUCUAAACACAGUUAAAAUUAUUAAUAUGCAUCACUAAAUUAAAAACAUGAAACCCAACUCAACAAACUAUGUAAAAUAAAUUAAAAACAAAAGAAAUAAGAAAACAUAAAUUCCUUCUACCAUUCACGUGGCACACAUAUUCUACCAAAAGAAAACUUGAAUUUGCAAAUACUUGAAAAGAACCUUCUUUAGCCGUGACAUGUUGGCAACCAUUUGCUUCAUUAAAAAAAAAUUAAAAUGGGAAACAUUUCCCUCUCCAGAGAUGUGCAGCGGGUGAAUGCAUUGUUGAAGGGAAAUGAAAUAAAAUGCAUUAAGUGUGUAAUUGACAAAGCAACACAUGCAUCUUCCAUAAAAAAAAAUAAAAAAAAAUAAAGAAAAGUAACGUUUAAGCAUAACAAAUGUGUGGCUGGGAUUAAAGAGGAUAACUAAAAAUAAUCAAUCACCAUCUCCUAUUUUUGCAAUUUCAAGAACCAUGGCAGCACCCACCAACUUUCACCUAAUCCUCUUCAAUCACAAAGAUAAAUACGGUGCAGCUAGCAAAGGAAAUAAGCCACCCUUUAAACUAAUUAAAAGAAAAACUUUAAAUGAGUGAAGCCUAUGCACCAUGUCCCAUCACCUAGCCUUCCAC